GCCGGGCGUAGUGGCGGGCGCCUGUAGUCCCAGCUACUUGGGAGGCUGAGGCAGGAGAAUGGCGUGAACCCGGGAGGCGGAGCUUGCAGUGAGCCGAGAUCCCGCCACUGCACUCCAGCCUGGGCGACAGAGCGAGACUCCGUCUCAAAAAAAAAAAAAAAAAAAAAAAAAUUAGAUUCUUAGAAUUUUCACAAUCUUUUUUUGAGACAGGGUCUCGCUCUGUUGCCCAGGCUGGAGUGCAGUGGCACGAUCUUGGCUCACUGCAAUCUCUGCCUCCUGGGUU
rnacentral:lncRNA from 1 species